rnacentral:lncRNA from 1 species
UGCCUCUUCUUCUUCUUCCUUAAAGCAGCUGGGUCCCUCUUUGUAACCCCGUUUUUCUGUCCUCUCUCAAAUCUGUUUUUCUCUUUGAGGAGAAAAUUGUAAGGAAGGAAUUUUUUUAUGUUGGGGCUGACAGCAAAAAAAUUCAGAAAAUGGUUCAAAAGGACAACCACUUCUCAGCAUUCUCAACCACCCAUUUCUCUAUAUUGGGAUUUGAUGAUACCAAAUUACACUUCCAUGACAGUGUUAUCCCACCAUUCAUUCCCAUGUAAACCCAAGGGUCAUAAUUGGGAAAACUGGCAUUAAGCUUGAAGACUGCCAAUGUAAACUCCCUCUUUCCCUCUCUCUUUGUCUAUCUCAGUACAACAAUAACAUUCCUUCAUAAUAGAAAAAAAAGGCAGACAGGAUGGAGCCAGGCAAUUGUAGUAGUUAUGGUUUUCUGUGCUUAGUUUUAGAUUGUUCUCAUCAUACUAUAUGCUCCUUUUGUUUAAAUCUUCGUUAAGUACUACUUUCCAAGAAAAAGGAAAAGCAACAACAAGUCUUUUGAAGCAUCUAUAUAUAUAUAUAUAUAUGAAGAAAUCAUCUGCUUAUCUAUGUAUCUCUACAUGAGAAUCUGGCUUUUUAUGUUAUUAUGAGGAUAAUCAUGAUGGUGAUGUUGCAUUUUCUUCCCCAUUUUUCAAUAGAAUUGUAUUCAUUUUCAUACAUAUAAAUUAUAUUACAGAUCCUUUUUAUAUAUCUCGGUUCUCUGCUUUUCUUUUUCAAGCUAUUUUCUCAUGUUCCUUUCUUUCGUGAUUAUAUUAAUUCAGAGUUAUAUAUUUUCUCUAGAUGAUUUCUUUUCAGGAUUGCCCAUUAGCCUGUAUUUAUGUAUAUAUAUUUGGCUAUACUGAGUUAGUUCUCUUUGUAGUUAGAGAGCCAUUAUUUCCACAAAUUAUAUAUAUGAUCUUGUCUUCUAUACUGAUUGUUGCAGGGAUUUGAUUUUUAACUUUCUAUAUUUUCAUCUGACAAAACCGAUCGGGUAGAUCUUUAGGAUCAAAGUCUGUGGGGUUUAUCUGUUAAAUUACACUGAUUUUUUUAUUUUCUUUGAAGAAAAAAAGAAUCCUAGAGGAAUUGUAUGUUCUUCUGUCGUAUGACAUGCAGAGAAAAGUUCUUUAUGGCAGGAAGGAAAAGCUAUUUUUUUUUUUUCUUCUCUCCUAAUAAUCCUUCCCCUUCUCCAACCGGCAAGUUCUUGGAAGUAGAGGUGCAGUUUUUGUUGACAUUAAGAAGCCUGCUUUUCGAAGCUUUAUUGAUGACAUAUCCAUGGUUGUAAUUAAAUUUGGGUUUUUGGAUAUAUUUUUGAGAUCUGAAUGCACUUUCUAAGUGAUAUAUAUCCUCAAUUAUUCCUUGGGUGAAUCAAGUUUCUGUUUAUUAGUUGCUUAUUUUUUCAUUUUCAAUGGCCUUCGCUUUUGGGAUGUUGUUUGUUUCAUAUACAUUGCAUUCAACCUGAUAUUUUCACACAAAUUUUAGCAGCUAAAUGCCUAACAUGCUGGAAAAGGAAAGAGCAAAUGAAGCUAGGUAGCAUAC